rnacentral:miRNA from 1 species
ACAUGGAGUUGCUGUUACAAUCG